GCGCGGCCUUCGCCACUCGCGCCCGGUAAGAGCUGACGGCGCCCCGGAGCGCCGCUCAGCCAAUGGCCGCCGCUCUCCGUUUCUGGACACGCCCUCUUCAAAAGGACAGCCAGAGGUCCCUUCCUCUGAGGCUUUGGACGCUUGCCUGUUUCUAUUUCUCAGGAACAGAUAAGCCUAAUCCUUCGAGAGAAAGGCCUAAGCCCAUGAAUCAUUAAACAAUACGAAUACCACAGGGCAGUUAGUUUUCAGGACUCGGGCGCUAGGCUGCUGACAUAUCUCAGUACCAUGGGGCUGGCUAUUGUUUGGUACUGGAAGAGGCCAGUGGAACCAUGGUUCCUUCCUGCCAGAGGAAAGCUGUUUCUAUCCACUCUAGAAUUGCUUGUUUAUAAAAAGCGUCAA